AAGAUAGUGUGAAUUGGGAACAAUGCUGGCCCUGUGAGGGGUGGCAGGAGAAUUCUAGCUGGCAUUUUCCUUGCGAAGGAGCGAGCCCAAGGCCAUGCUACCUUGGAUGGGGCUGGAGGAGCACACAGCUGCUGGCAUCUCCCCGCUGAACUCCCCAAGUGCCAGGAUGGAACACGUGGCAGCUGUGUGAGCACUGUGCUGUCACUCUGGGGACGCAUCAGUGGCAGUCCAGAGCUGCUAGCACCGACUGCAUGAAAAACACAACCGAAGGGGAGAGAUGAGCUCAAGGUGAGCAAAAGCUGAGCACGCCUGGGCAGCAGUGGUGAAAACAAAAUCAGUGGGAGAUGCUGCCAACGGCCACCCCGACACAUCUGGGCACAACGUGUUAGAGGGGCUGCGGGCAGCCUGGCUGAGCAGAGCCGGCUCCACGGCCGCGGGAUGUGCGGUGCUACGAGGGAUCUCAACCAUCAAUAAACAUCAGUGUCAAAAAGGACAGGAAAAGGUUAUUUAUCACAAAGCAGGCCAAGGAGCAGGAAUGCAGCAGGGGUGACAUGGGCUCUGGCCACCCCGCUGGGGCCGUGUCCGGUGGCAGCUUGGGGUCAGAGCCGCCAGCCCAGUGCUCUGCGUCCCCAUGGUUUGCC
rnacentral:lncRNA from 1 species